CGUUAAUUGUAAGACCGCUACCCGUGUCGUUUAUUUUAGAAACAAGUUUAUACUAUCGAUUACCCGAGCAAGUUCAAGGGUAGUCACAAAGAUAAUAUAUUCGCGAGGAAGAAUAAAAUCGAGAGUGAAGUAGAUAAAGUCAUCGUAUACCGUGACCAAGUUCGAAAAAUGCUUGACACGAGACGAAGCCGUAGAGACACGCCGGAAGGAUUAAAAACGGUACCCGAGAAGAACAUGUUGCCUCGCAGCUGAAUCGCGCAAACUGAUCACUGAACAUCUGCGUGAUCGAAACUGAAAACAGAGCGCCUCGGCAUAUGUACUUAUACAUAUGUAUAGUAGGUUUUGCUAGAAGAGUAGCACAGUAAACUGUCGCCAAUUUUGAGAUAUCAGGAAAAUUAGCUUUGGAAGUGAAGUAUUUGCUAGAAUGGUCAUAAUUACUAUUUAACAAACACAAUGUCGCAAUUCAAAGUACAUACAUAGAUCUUAAUCUCUGUCUUAAUAAUAAGUAAUACACUUUAACAAUACUUUAUUGGAGACUCUUGAAAGAUAAGAAAUAUUACACUAAUUGUAAGAGAAAAGAAAAUUCUUUCGUUGUUUUAUAAGUUUCUAGGAAAAUUACCUAAACUAUAUACAGUAGCUAUUAAAAAGUAUUUGCGGGCAAUAAUUGUAUUUAUUAUAGCAUUUACAUGUCAAUUAAUUACGUCCAAAUAUAUUAAACUUUGUUAUAUUUAGUAGUACUUUCAUAUUACUACAAAGAUUUAAUAUUAUUAAAAUGAAAUGUAGAAUUUGAUGAAAGAGACAUUGGAAAACACGAAUACUCUGUCACUGUAUAUUAUAAAAUUCAGAGGGUGAAUCUACAUUUAAAUUUCACUUUAAUUACAUUCAGUAAAAUAUGAGUUUACAUAAGCUAGAUUCAUCAAGUAAUUAAUGAUCAUUUACUCGGAACUUUCUAUUUCACACUUGCUAAAAGACAGAUUUUUAUUAACCAUGUUACUGUUCUAGCAAACAUGACAAAAUAUACAUGGAAUGAAGCUGAAAGGAAAACAAUUGACCAAAGACUCACCACAAAUUUGGCCUUUCGCUUGUAGUGUUCGCAACCAUAAUCAUCGCCAGCAGUUGCCUCCAAGGGUUUCUCCUUCGAAGUCGACGCAUGUUCG